CCUACGGGAGGCUGCAGUGGGGAAUCUUGCGCAAUGCGCGAAAGCGUGACGCAGCAACGCCGCGUGGGGGAAGAAGGCCUUCGGGUUGUAAACCCCUUUCAGGAGGGACGCGGUACCUCCAGAAGAAGCCCCGGCUAACUACGUGCCAGCAGCCGCGGUAAUACGUAGGGGGCAAGCGUUGUCCGGAAUCAUUGGGCGUAAAGAGCGUGUAGGCGGUCCGGUAAGUCGGCUGUGAAAGUCCAGGGCUCAACCCUGGGAUGCCGGUCGAUACUGCCGGACUAGAGUUCGGAAGAGGCGAGUGGAAUUCCCGGUGUAGCGGUGAAAUGCGCAGAUAUCGGGAGGAACACCUAUGGCGAAGGCAGCUCGCUGGGACGUACUGACGCUGAGACGCGAAAGCGUGGGGAGCAAACAGGAUUAGAUACCCUUGUAGUC
rnacentral:rRNA from 1 species